CACACACACACUUUCUCACACACCCACGCACGUACACGCACACGCACACGCACACACACACACACACCCCUCCCUAACUUGGUGGACUGACGCAGCAGAUCAUCUCACUUUCCUCCGCCAUGGGCACGAGGUAGGCGGUGAUGCGGUUUCAGAGGUCAAAACAAUCCAGAGCUGCUGUGAUUGGUCCAAAAGCGAGAAUCCCCGCCUCCCAGCUGCGCGCUGAUUGGCUGACACUACACAUCAAUCUUGUGACAUCUGAUUCUGUGGAAUGGGAGUGUGAUGAGCGCUUGCGUCAGAGAUAACCUAACAGGAGGUUGUGAUUGAAUGUUGUACAGCCUGAGAGGAGAUUCCCUAUAGCAGCAGCAGCAGCAGCAGCAGUGUGGGUGGUGCUGAAUGCUCUGAAGAAAACAGCCUCUCUGAUUGGUGUAAAACGGGGCAGGAGCCCCACGGUGAAUGGUGAAGCCGUAUCUAAGGUGCUGAUGUAGGCUGUGCACGUCAUCGCUCGGGCUCAACGCACGUUGUUGCCAAAUUUAAAGCGCACCAGCAGCAGCAUGUGUGUGUUCAUGAUGUGAAGUCACUGCUCCACAAUGUCAGUGUAACUUUAAUGUAAAGUGAUGCUCA